UUUCCUCAAUGUACAAGUGUGUUUUAAAUCAAAUGUUAUACUAAUAGAAGUGUGUUAGUGUAUGCACAUGAUCUCAUGACUUUGUAUAGUGCACAUAAUGAUAUGGAUAACUACACCGAAUGAAGGGAUUUAUUGCAAAAUAUUGUUUUCGAUCCAUUCAUUGAUCUCCAUACAUGUCUGAGGAAUGAUGGCAACUACAUUGUUUGCCAUUGUAAAUACAACGGUAACGUUAUUGUGCCAGUCUGAGAUACACAAGCCACAUUGGAGGGGACCACCCCUCGAUGACUAUGGACUUCCUACUGUAUAUAACUACAAGGGAUCUGAUAUUAGAGCAGACUACCCAAAGUUACAUUUUGCCAGUAAUAACAGGGACCUUGUUAUAACUGGUGUUCAGGUUAUCGAUAGCGGAACGUAUACGUGUUCGAAUACAGGACAAAACCUUAUUGUCCGUGGAAUGAUGGCAACUACAUUGUUUGCCAUUGUAAAUACAACGGUAACGUUAUUGUGCCAGUCUGAGAUACACAAGCCACAUUGGAGGGGAC